rnacentral:rRNA from 1 species
GAUGAACGCUGGCGGCGUGCUUAACACAUGCAAGUCGAACGGGAAACCUUUUAAUGAAGCUUCGGCAGAUUUCGCUGGUUUCUAGUGGCGGACGGGUGAGUAACGCGUGGGUAACCUGCCUUAUACAGGGGGAUAACAGUCAGAAAUGACUGCUAAUACCGCAUAAGCGCACAGGACCGCAUGGUCCGGUGUGAAAAACUCCGGUGGUAUAAGAUGGACCCGCGUUGGAUUAGCUUGUUGGGGGGGUAACGGCUCACCAAGGCGACGAUCCAUAGCCGGCCUGAGAGGGUGAGCGGCCACAUUGGGACUGAGACACGGCCCAGACUCCUACGGGAAGCAGCAGUGGGGAAUAUUGCACAAUGGGGGAAACCCUGAUGCAGCGACGCCGCGUGAAGGAAGAAGUAUCUCGGGAUGUAAACUUCUAUCAGCAGGGAAGAUAGUGACGGUACCUGACUAAGAAGCCCCGGCUAACUACGUG